GGGACACAUCCGAAAAUAAAAACAAGUAUUAACUUUAGAAAGGGAAAAACAUUAUAAUUCAAAUGUAAAACUUCACCUUUAAUUUAUUGACAUAAAAUCUGCAAAUUGACCUCAAAAACCUAAAAGCCACCUCCAUUUAACUGAUCUGGUUUAAUCUAAAGCUCAUAGCUCCUUUCUUUAAUAUCACAUACACACUGUGAUGUGUUACAUAUCAAAUGAAUAUUUCAGCACCUGCUUUAUUUUAUGGACACUACCGUCUGAAUAGGUCUUAAACAGGCAUAUUGUCAGAGUUUCCGCUGCCCAAAUAUCUGGUAUGAAGAUUGGAUGAAAUGAUUUGAUAGUGAAACAUUAGCUUCUUUUAUAAUCUGAUGGCUGCCGAGCAUUCUUCAAGUGUAACGUGCACUCAAUAAUUAAAGUGCUCUAGUCACUCUAGUAUCAAUCUGAGCCAUCUGAUAGUCCUGUUUAAAAAAAAAAUGGGGGGUUGCUUUAAAAUAUUUGAACUGCACAUUUGGCUGCAGAUGAGUAUCAGACAAGACAGAAAGUGUCCGUAGUGAGACGGCGUUCACUGGAAUCAGUCGAUGUGAAGCGACGCAGGGUCAAAAGGUCAAAAGACUCCGUUUAAAGCUUUUCGCCGACGAGCUGAGCAGCCGAUCUGUGAACGUGAGCAGCGUUUCUCUGAGAACGAGGACGAUGAUUGAGGGGCUGCAGGAGGAACAGAAGGGGAGAUUAAAGGAACCUGGAAUGACAGCAGAAGAGCAGGACCCCACACGACGGGGGCCCUGAGAGGCCGCCUGAUUGACACCCCAUCGCAGCGCUACUGCCAGGGCCCCUCCCAGCGUUCGGGGGGGGGUCCUCAGCACAAUAUGCGCCAAACCGCGAGCAGACAAAUACACCUGUUCCGACGCACAAAGUGACAGGGGGAGAGCGUGGAGCGCAGAGGUCUGUUGCAGCGAGCUUGUACUUUGCAGCGCGGUACAGGAGCGAGACGUCGGGUCGAUCCCCCCACAAAGGCCUCUCGGUCUUUUGACAACAGCCAAAGCACGGUUCACCGUGCCCUGCGAGACAAAGUGAGCGCCUGAGAGACAACGGUACAGACGCUAAGAAAGUCAGACCCCCUGCUGUGAUUACUGCAUUUUGCUGAGUACCCUCUAUUUUUUUCCUCCUUUUACCUGUUUCCCAUCUUUUCUCAUGUAAGCGCUCGCACAUACACGAUGGAGCGGUGAAGUGGGUGAGGUAGACGGUACCAUGAUCUGAGAUGAUGAAAUAAACAGGCUGGUAGUCGCA
rnacentral:lncRNA from 1 species